rnacentral:misc_RNA from 1 species
GAUGAAGAACGCAGCGAAAUGCGAUAAGUAAUGUGAAUUGCAGAAUUCAGUGAAUCAUCGAAUCUUUGAACGCACAUUGCGCCCGCCAGUAUUCUGGCGGGCAUGCCUGUCCGAGCGUCAUUUCAACCCUCAGGCCCUGGUUGCCUGGUGUUGGGGCGCCGCGCACCCUCUGCGGGCGCGGGCCCCGAAAGUCAGUGGCGGGCUCGCCAGGACUCCGAGCGCAGUAAUUUUCUCUCGCUGUGGAGCGCCUGGUGGGUUACCAGCCGUAAAACACCCCAAAUUCUAAAGGUUGACCUCGGAUCAGGUAGGAAUACCCGCUGAACUUAAGCAUAUCAUAAGCGGAGGA